GAGGAUGGGUAAGUCGCAGGGAUGUCGUGACCAUCCUGGUGGCCACAGUUAACAAUAUUGCAUUCUAUGUUUGCAAAUCACUAACAGAGUAGAUCUUAAAAGUUCUCACCACAAAAAGACAUUUGUAACUAUGAUGAAUGUUACCUAACCUUACUGUGGUAAUCACAAUAGCUACCGAUAGCAAAUCAUUUUGUUGGAUACCUGAAACUAAUGUAAUUUGAUAUGUCAGUAAUACCUCAAUAGUAGCACAGGCACUUAUAUCCAAUCUCUUGCAAUGAAACAUGAAGGAAGACACUAUGAGAAAAAGAAUGCAUAUAUAUAUAUAGAGAGAGAGAGAAAGGUCACUUUGCCACACAGCAGAAAUUGGCACAACAUGACAUCACGGAGCCCCUGGUGGCUGGUGUGACUUUGCCAUGGGCAGGCUCCAUGCCAAUAGCUGACUGCAUUUAAAGAACCAAGGGUCGGGUUUGAUUAGUUGCAAAGAUAUUUGAAAUAUUAAAGGGAGUUUCCAUUGUUGCUCAGCGAGUUGUGGACCUGACUAGUACCAUGAGGAUGUGUGUUAGAUCCCUGGCCUUGCUCAGUGGGUUAAGGAGCUGGCCUUGCCGCUAGCUGAGCAUAGGUUGCAGACGCAGCUUGGAUCCCACAUUGCUGUGGCUAUGGUGUAGGCUGGCAGCUGCAGCUCCAAUGCGACCCCUAGCCUGGAAACUUCCAUAUGCCGCAGGUGCAGCCCUAAAAGGCAAAUAUAUAUAUAGUGAAUGGGGCAGGUCUGACCCAAGAGCCAAGAAAAUGCUGCUGAGCGGAAGAAGUUCCGUAUUUUUUUUUUAUUUUUCCUGUACAGCUCUCCCUCCUUCUUCUAAAUAACUGCUUUUUAAAUAAAGUUUUAUUGGAGAUAGUUGAUUUACAAGGUUGUGUUAGUUUCAGGUGUACAGUAAAGUGAUUCAGUUAUACACAUACAUAUAUCCAUUCUUUUUCAGAUUCUUUUCCCAUUAAAGUUACUACAGAAUAUCAAGUAGAGUUCCCUGUGCUGUAUAACAGGUCCUUGUUGGUUAUCUAUUUUAUAUAAUAGUUGUAUGUAUAUGUUAACGCCAAACUCCUAAUUUAUUCCUCCCCUCCACAUUUCCCUUCGUUUACCGUAUGUUUGCUUUCUAUGAGUCUGUUUCUGUUUUGUAAAGAAGUUCAUUUGUAUCAUUUUUUAUUAGAUUCCACAUAGAAAUGAUAUUAUGUGAUGUUUCUCUCGGACUUCAUUGUACAAUGAUCUCUAGGUCCAUCCAUGUUGCUGCAGAUUGGCAUUUUUCAUUCUUUUUUAUUGCUGAGUAACAUGAAUAAACUUAUUUACAAAAUAGACUCACAGAUAUAGAAAGCAAACUUAUGGUUACCAAAGUAGGUAGUAGGAGUGGGAGGGAGAGAUAAAUUGGGAGUUUGGGAUUAACAGAUACACACUACUGAAUUACACAGAUAAACAAGGACCUACUGUAAAGCACAGGAAAUUGUAUCAAUAUUCAGUCUUAUAAUAACAUAUAAUGGGAAAGAAUCUGAAAAAGAAUAUAUGUAUAUAUUUGCAUAUGUAUCAAUAAAUUGCUGUAUACUUGAAACUAACACAGCAUUGUAAAUUUAUUAUACUUCAAUUAAAAAUGUUUGAAAAAAAUAUUUUUUUUUGUUUUUUGUCUUUUGUCCUUUACCCAUGGCAUAUGGAGGUUCCCAGGCUAGGGGUCGAAUCAGAGGCGUAGCUGCUGGCCUACACCACAGCCACAGCAACACCAGAUCUGAGGUACGUCUGCGACCUACACCACAGCUCACGGCAAGGCUGGCUUAACCCACUGAGCGAGGCCAGGGAUCGAACCCGGAACCUCAUGGUUCCUAGUUGGAUUCGUUUCUGCUGUGCCACGACGGGAACUCCUGAAAAAAAAUUUUAAGAAUAUCACUUAAGAUACAGUCAAUUAAUUACUUGCCUAUGACUCACAUAUGGCCCUGGCUAGAAGUUUAUGUUUUUUUUAGUGCAUUGCUAGGCGAAAUGUUAAAAAAAUGCUGUCACUGGAAAACAUAUGUGGAGUGUCAACUAGUGACGUGCAGAGCCUUUUCCUGGUCAUGAGAUUUGAACAGUAUUUUGUGUAGAAAACAUUUGGGAACAAGGCAGGGGUAGAAUGGACUCUAUAUGAACUUUCUCCGUGGGGUGGCGCUCUUACCAUCUGACACAGGAGUUGGAAAUCAGGCGUAGGUAUGAAACAAGUGUGCCUGGACCGUCCCAAAGCAUAGAUAAUUGAGAGAGCACUCAUGAUUCUGUAAUGUAGAAAAAAUCGUAUUCAUAGCCUUAAAUUAGAGAAACUCAGCUUGACCGGAUGAAAAGUCUGAGGGAAACAUUCAGAAAAAGUCGGCUUUAUUAACUACACAGUAGGACGGGGAGACGUGUGGUUGUACAACUUGAAAUGAAUACAAAUAAUUUGUGGUUAUCAUAUUUAUUAUUAAAACAAAAAGGCUGCUGCUCAGAUGGUAUUUGGAAAAAAGCAUGUCAUCUUUGCUUAUGGAUGCGUUUAUUCAAAUGUCAUAUAUUCAAAAAUACAUUUAUGUAUUGUAUGUAUAUGCUAUAUUAUAUAUAAUAUAUAUAAUCUCAGUAUGUGCUCAUGUAUUCUUUUUUCUACUAGUUUCAUGGUGAUAUGAAUUACAUAAUUAAAGUCACUUUUUUUUUUCUUUUUAUGGCCACACCUGCGGCAUAUGGAAGUUUCCGGGUGUAGGGGUCAAAUCAGAGCUGCUGUUACAGACUACACAGCCAUGGCUACACCAGACUGGAGCCACAUCUGCGACCUGCCCUGCAGCUUGCAGCAAUGCUGGAUGCUUAACACACUGAUUGAGGCCAGGAAUUGAACCUGUAUCCUCGCAAAGACGGUGUCGGGGCUUUAACCUGGUGAGCCACAGUGGAAACUCCAAGUCACCAUUUUUAAGUGUACAAUUUAAUGGUUUUAGUAAAUUCCUGGAGUUUUGCACCAUCACUGCAAUCCAGUUUUAUAACAUUUCCAUUACUCCCCAAAGAUCCCUUGUGCCUACUUCCAGUUACUCUCCAUUCCCACACCCAACUCCAAUCUUGGUAGAGUUAUUUUUCUGGAUGCGAUGCUGGGGACCAUAUCUUCUGUGUCCUACCCUCAAGUAAAACGACUAGAACAGGGGACCCACCUUUUGAUACUUUAGUCACUACCUUGGUUAAGGCAAGCUUUCUGCUGAGAGAAAUGACUGCAUGGAAAGCUUAGAACUCAAAGAGAUCUCUGAAGAUCUUCUCUUUAGGGAAGCAGUACAGUUUAAGUGUGAGCUCUGGAAUGAGGCACAUGCUUGGGUUUAACGCCUAGCUCUACUGCCUUCUGGAAGCGUGACCACAGCAAAAUAAUUUAACCUCUCUAAAGUGUUCGUUUCUUCGUAUGUAAAAAUAGGGUUGUUGGAACACAGCAGGAAGUAAUGUCCACAUAGUGCCUGGCAUCCCAUGUGUAUUCUAUAGACACAUUACUUAUAGCCAUUUUUAACCUUUCUCAUCAAGAAUAGUCUACCCAGUUUUUGACUCUAGUGUAAACUUCAGAAUUUUUCGGCAAUUCAUUGUGCUUCGCUGCAAUUCACUGUGAUGUCGUAUCAUGUUUCCUUUGCAUUUAACCCAGACUUUUGGGUUGUUCACUAAGGAAUAGCUGGAUGCUAUAGAAGGUCAUAUUAUUUCCCGAAAAUAUUCUGACUUUACCGACUACAUGCGUAACUCCGGUGCUUGUGAUUGUUGUGUGGGAGAUACGAAGAAGGUGCAGCGGAGGCAUGAACAACUCACUUGGAAACAAGCAAGUCACCAGAAAUCAAAGGUGAAUUAAACAAGUAUUUAGAGACACAAACAGUGAUGCUUCUACUUGACCAGCAAUUUUGCUCCUGAAUACCUAUUGAAAAGAAAGAAUUUUAAAUGCAGCAAAGAUUUUUGAACAGAGACUUAGCCAAACAUCAAUUAUACUUGGAAAUAGAAGGAGAGGGCUAUUGAGAUAUUCCUUGAAGGAUGAAUGGAAUUUCAAUAUGCAGGAAAUGGCAAGAAAGGGCAUUUCAGAGGAAGUGAACUUCAACUUCAUCCAUUCAUUUAUGUUUUCAUUCAUCAAAUAUGUGAGUGCCUGCUUGUAUCAUCAGCUUUUACUAGAUCAUUCUGAAGUAAAGAACAACACCAAAAAUCUUAGUGGCUUAAAAAAAAAAAAAAAAAAAA
rnacentral:lncRNA from 1 species